rnacentral:rRNA from 1 species
UGGCGGACGGGUGAGUAACGCGUGAGCAACCUGCCCUUCGGAACGGGAUAGUGUCUGGAAACGGACAGUAAUACCGUAUAACGUAUUUUUACCGCAUGAUAGAAAUACCAAAACUGAGGUGCCGAAGGAUGGGCUCGCGUCUGAUUAGAUAGUUGGUGGGGUAACGGCCUACCAAGUCGACGAUCAGGUAGCCGGACUGAGAGGUUGAACGGCCACAUUGGGACUGAGACACGGCCCAGACUCCUACGGGAGGCAGCAUG